rnacentral:rRNA from 1 species
UACGUAGGGUGCAAGCGUUGUCCGGAAUUAUUGGGCGUAAAGAGCUCGUAGGCGGUCUGUCGCGUCGGCUGUGAAAACCCGGGGCUCAACCCCGGGCCUGCAGUCGAUACGGGCAGACUAGAGUGUGGUAGGGGAGACUGGAAUUCCUGGUGUAGCGGUGAAAUGCGCAGAUAUCAGGAGGAACACCGGUGGCGAAGGCGGGUCUCUGGGCCAUAACUGACGCUGAGACGCGAAAGCGUGGGGAGCGAACAGG